rnacentral:lncRNA from 1 species
UUGUGGAGCCUUGGGCGGACAGGGGAGGUGCUGUCCGUUCGGCGGUCUGUCGCCGCGGCCGAAUCGUGCCAAAUUGGUAGUGAUUUCGGGGCGGGGCGUGACAGUAAUUGUGAUGUAAGCAAAUGUAUCAAUGAGAAUGCUUGUAAUAAUAUAGGAUGUGUUUAUGUUGUUGAUACCUUUCCAUAUGCAAUCUGUAUGUUGAUUUCUGUUCCUGGUUGGAACAUCGUGAAUUAUAUUGAUUGUGACGCCUAGGACGUACAGGGGAAAUUCUAUCCGUUCGGCGGUCUGUCGGCGUGCCCGAAUCCGACCAAAUAGGCGGGUGUCGAGGCGUGACACAACCGGUCUCUGGAAAGGGAGACCGGUUCCCGAACAUGGGAUUUUCUGUCACGCAGCGAGGGACCGGUCUCUGGCAUGAGAGACCGGUUCCCGAACGUUGUAUUUUCUGUCAUACAGCGA